rnacentral:lncRNA from 1 species
CCGGUGUCGGCGGAGGUGGCGGGCAGGGUGUGGUCACCGCCGGCGGGGUCGGGUAGGUCACUGGUGGUGCGGUCACCGGCGGGGAAGGGUAGGUUAUUGGUGGGGCGGUGAUUGGUGGUGAAGGGUAGGUGACUGGAGGGGCGGUCACCGGCGGUGAAGGGUAGACGACGGGAGGGCUGACGACAGGGCCCUUGGGCGGGCCGACCACAGGUGGGACGGUGAUUGGGCCCUUGGGUGGGCUGUAGACCGGGGGGCGAGGGACGGGCCGGCCUUUGGGUGGGCCGACGACGACCGGAGCUGGGGUCUUGGG